AGUGAACGCUGGCGGUAGGCCUAACACAUGCAAGUCGAACGGCAGCACAGUAAGAGCUUGCUCUUACGGGUGGCGAGUGGCGGACGGGUGAGGAAUACAUCGGAAUCUACUUUUUCGUGGGGGAUAACGUAGGGAAACUUACGCUAAUACCGCAUACGACCUACGGGUGAAAGCAGGGGAUCUUCGGACCUUGCGCGAUUGAAUGAGCCGAUGUCGGAUUAGCUAGUUGGCGGGGUAAAGGCCCACCAAGGCGACGAUCCGUAGCUGGUCUGAGAGGAUGAUCAGCCACACUGGAACUGAGACACGGUCCAGACUCCUACGGGAGGCAGCAGUGGGGAAUAUUGGACAAUGGGCGCAAGCCUGAUCCAGCCAUACCGCGUGGGUGAAGAAGGCCUUCGGGUUGUAAAGCCCUUUUGUUGGGAAAGAAAAGCAGCAGGUUAAUACCCCGCUGUUCUGACGGUACCCAAAGAAUAAGCACCGGCGAACUUC
rnacentral:rRNA from 1 species